GACGAACGCUGGCGGCGUGCUUAACACAUGCAAGUCGAGCGGUAAGGCCCCUUCGGGGGUACACGAGCGGCGAACGGGUGAGUAACACGUGAGCAAUCUGCCCUUCACACGGGGAUAACCACCGGAAACGGUGGCUAAUACCCGAUACGACCACUUCAGGCAUCUGAUGGUGGGGGAAAGUUCCGGCGGUGAAGGAUGAGCUCGCGGCCUAUCAGCUUGUUGGUGGGGUAAUGGCCUACCAAGGCAACGACGGGUAGCCGGCCUGAGAGGGUGACCGGCCACACUGGGACUGAGACACGGCCCAGACUCCUACGGGAGGCAGCAGUGGGGAAUAUUGGACAAUGGGCGAAAGCCUGAUCCAGCAACGCCGCGUGAGGGAUGACGGCCUUCGGGUUGUAAACCUCUUUCAGCAGGGACGAAGCGCAAGUGACGGUACCUGCAGAAGAAGCACCGGCCAACUACGUGCCAGCCGCCGCUGUAACAC
rnacentral:rRNA from 1 species